GACGUAGGGCGCGAGCGUUGUCCGGAUUUAUUGGGCGUAAAGAGCUCGUAGGCGGCUUGUUGCGUCGACUGUGAAAACCCGCGGCUUAACUGCGGGCUUGCAGUUGAUACGGGCAGGCUAGAGUUCGGUAGGGGAGACUGGAAUUCCUGGUGUAGCGGUGAAAUGCGCAGAUAUCAGGAGGAACACCGGUGGCGAAGGCGGGUCUCUGGACCGAUACUGACGCUGAGGAGCGAAAGCGUGGGGAGCGAACAGG
rnacentral:rRNA from 1 species